rnacentral:tRNA from 1 species
GGGAUCUUAGCUCAGUGGUAAGAGUGCCUGCCUAGCACGUAUGAAGCACUGGGUUUGAUCCCCAGCACAUUUUA